CCACCACUUGGGGAUAACCUUUGCGAAAGUAAGACUAAUACCCAAUGAUAUCUCUAGAAGACAUCUGAAAGAGAUUAAAGAUUUAUCGGUGAUGGAUGGGGAUGCGUCUGAUUAGCUUGUUGGCGGGGUAACGGCCCACCAAGGCAACGAUCAGUAGGGGUUCUGAGAGGAAGGUCCCCCACAUUGGAACUGAGACACGGUCCAAACUCCUACGGGAGGCAGCAGUGAGGAAUAUUGGUCAAUGGACGAGAGUCUGAACCAGCCAAGUAGCGUGCAGGAUGACGGCCCUAUGGGUUGUAAACUGCUUUUAUAAGGGAAUAAAGUUAGUCUCGUGAGACUUUUUGCAUGUACCUUAUGAAUAAGGACCGGCUAAUUCCGUGCCAGCAGCCGCGGUAAUACGGAAGGUCCGGGCGUUAUCCGGAUUUAUUGGGUUUAAAGGGAGCGUAGGCCGGAGAUUAAGCGUGUUGUGAAAUGUAGACGCUCAACGUCUGCACUGCAGCGCGAACUGGUUUCCUUGAGUACGCACAAAGUGGGCGGAAUUCGUGGUGUAGCGGUGAAAUGCUUAGAUAUCACGAAGAACUCCGAUUGCGAAGGCAGCUCACUGGAGCGCAACUGACGCUGAAGCUCGAAAGUGCGGGUAUCGAACAGGAUUAGAUACCCUGGUAGUCCGCACGGUAAACGAUGGAUGCCCGCUGUUGGUCUGAAUAGGUCAGCGGCCAAGCGAAAGCAUUAAGCAUCCCACCUGGGGAGUAC
rnacentral:rRNA from 1 species